UAUGGAUCCGAUACCAAGUAGUUACUGUUGAGUUAAAAACUCAGAAGUGUCAGUAAUCAUGGUCAACAUCAGUUCAGACUACAAUUCCCAGAAUGCCAAGGUAAAAUGGCCGCCAAAUUACUAAUUGAAGGCACCUGAAAAGGAAGGAGGUUCAGUCACUCAUGCGCCAAACAACCUCCAUGGAAAGAACAGCGGCAAGCAGCCACAACCGCAAGAUCCACUCAAGUUUCCAAACACACCAAUGGUUUACAACCUACUGACGAUUUUGAAGAUCAACUGAAAAGAAACCAACAAUUCUUCAAGUUGGAAAAAAUAAAAGUUGAUCAAUUGGAAAUCGUGGCCGGGUUGAAAACCAUUUCCCCGUUUGCCCUGGUCCAAGUUACGGUGGGCAUUGGAUUGCCCACAACGAUGGCUCGAAAGAUGGCACGUUUUCCUGAAACGUGGACAUUUACCAAUCAUUAGUGAUGUUUAUGCAGGGUACAAGAUGACUAAUUUAUCGUACUGGCUCUGAAAGGGGAAGUGCAUCUUUUUUGAGAAUGUUGUCGAUCAUUCACAGUCCUUAUGUGAGAC